AUACGGAGGGUGCGAGCGUUAAUCGGAAUUACUGGGCGUAAAGGGUCCGUAGGCGGUCUGCUUAGUCUGAUGUGAAAGCCCCGGGCUUAACCUGGGAAUGGCAUUGGAUACUGGCGGACUAGAGUCUGGUAGAGGGUGGUGGGAUUCCCGGUGUAGCGGUGAAAUGCGUAGAUAUCGGGAGGAACACCAGUGGCGAAGGCGGCCACCUGGACCAAGACUGACGCUGAGGGACGAAAGCGUGGGGAGCAAACAGGAUUAGAAACCCUAGUAGUCC
rnacentral:rRNA from 1 species